rnacentral:rRNA from 2 species
CAUAACGACUCUCGGCAACGGAUAUCUCGGCUCUCGCAUCGAUGAAGAACGUAGCGAAAUGCGAUACUUGGUGUGAAUUGCAGAAUCCCGUGAAUCAUCGAGUCUUUGAACGCAAGUUGCGCCCGAAGCCUCCGGGCUGAGGGCACGUCUGCCUGGGUGUCACGCA